UUAGUACAAGAUGCUACGGCAUUGAAGCAGUCUAUGUCAUACUUCCAAGAAAAGCUUGCAAUGUCAUAAACAAAUAAUGCCUGUACCAUAACCGACACAGGUGGGUAGGUAGAGUAUACUAAGGGGCGCGAGAUAACUCUCUCUAAGGAACUCGGCAAAAUGACUCCGUAACUUCGGGAGAAGGAGUACCUUAUUUUAUAAGUUUGCAAUAACAAGGUCCAAGCAACUGUUUACCAAAAACACAGGUCUCCGCUAAGUCGUAAGACGAUGUAUGGGGGCUGACGCCUGCCCAGUGCCAGAAGGUUAAAGAAGUUGGUUAGCAUUAGCGAAGCUGAUAACUGAAGCCCUGGUGAACGGCGGCCGUAACUAUAACGGUCCUAAGGUAGCGAAAUUCCUUGUCGGGUAAGUUCCGACCCGCACGAAAGGCGUAAUGAUUUGGAUACUGUCUCGGAGAGGGGCUCGGUGAAAUAGACUUGUCUGUGAAGAUGCGGACUACCUGCACCUGGACAGAAAGACCCUAUGAAGCUUUACUGUAACUUGAGAUUGAAAUUGGACUUUAUUUGCGCAGUAUAGGUGGGAGACCUCGAAAGUAUUCUUGCGGGAAUAUUGGAGUCAUCAGUGAGAUACCACUCUUAUAAUGUUAGAUUUCUAACUUUGUAUCAUUAUCUGGUCAAAGAACAGUUUCAGGCGGGCAGUUUGACUGGGGCGGUCGCCUCCCAAAUGGUAACGGAGGCGCACAAAGGUUUUCUCUGAACGUGUAGAAAUCGUAUCUAGAGUGUAAAGGCAUAAGGAAGCUUGACUGUGAGACCUACAAGUCGAGCAGGGACGAAAGUCGGUCUUAGUGAUCUGACGGUGCUGAGUGGAAAGGCCGUCACUCAACGGAUAAAAGUUACUCUAGGAUAACAGGCUGAUCUCCCCCAAGAGUUCACAUCGACGGGGAGGUUUGGCACCUUGAUGUCGGCUCAUCGCAUCCUGGGGCGGUAGUACGUCCCAAGGGUUGGGCUGUUCGCCCAUGAAAGCGGUACGCGAGCUGGGUUCAGAACGUCGUGAGACAGUUCGGUCCAUAUCCGGUGUAGGCGUUAGAAUAUUGAGAGGAGCCUUCUUUAGUACGAGAGGACCGAGAAGGACAUACCUCUGGUGUACCAGUUAUCGUGCCAACGGUAAACGCUGGGUAGCUAUGUAUGGAGAGGAUAACCGCUGAAAGCAUCUAAGUGGGAAGCCCACCUCAAGAUAAG
rnacentral:rRNA from 1 species